GAGUCAAGGGAAAGGGUAGGUAUGGCUUUGUGGCCUGCAUCAUGCAGGGGGUCAGACUAGAUGAUCAUAAUGGUCCCUUCUGACCUUAAAGUCUAUGAGUCUAUGAGUAAAGUGUGCGUGAGGGGGGUCCCCUCACCAGCAAGAGCGUUCACUUUUUGCCCAUCGCCAGUGUAUUCUUCUCAAAUCUUUUCAUCCAAAUCCAUGCUUUCAUCUCCAAGCUACAGAGCAAGUGUCAUCUUAGUUCAAAAAGAGAUUAGUAAAUAGUGUCUGCCUUUCUCUGCACAAGCUCCUUCCUGCCUAACCUGCAAGAAAAAGUAUUUAACAAGUUACUAAUAAACAGUCUCCAGGGGGCACCCAAUGAAAUUAACAGGCAUCAAGCUUAAAACAAACAUAAGGAAGUACUUCUUCACACAACUGCAUAGUCAGCCUGUGGAACUUGUUUCCAGGGGAUGUUUGAAGGCCAAAAUAUAACAGGGUUCAAAAAAGAAUUACCUAAAUUCAGGGAGGAUAGAUCUAUCAAGAUUGUCAGGGACGCAAUCCCAUACUCCGGGUGUCCCAAAAUCUCUGACUGCCAGAUGCCAGGACUGGAUGACAGGAGACGUGUCACUCGAUCAAUUGCCUCGUUCUGUUCAUUCCCUCUGAAGCAUCUGGCACCGGCCACUGUCAGACGAGGGAUAAUUGGUCUGACCCAGCAUGGCCAUUCUUGUGUUCUUAAUUUCACGUGCCAAGAAAUAUCAAAAUGAAGCAGCAUCCAGGUUCAUAUCGGACAUGGAGGAGAGCAGGCUGCCGCUCAGUAAGUAGUACCUCAGAUCAAAUCCUGGAAAGCAUAACAUCUGCCUGCAUGCGCUACCCUGCGCACAAAGCCCACCACCAUGCACAUCAGAUUUUUAAAUCACAGCUUCUGCUGCAGCCUUUUUGGCUCAAGCAGGGAUUAUUUACAUUAGUGUAACAGGUAGCUCUCCUGGACUCAACAUCCGUCAGGCAGGCACAAAACACCUUCCCGAGAACAAACAGCUGCCACUGCGCUCUGUGAAGAGGCAGAGGCAUUACUAUCAUCUCAGUAUCAUGCCGCAUCUUUUGCCGACACGAGACCGAGGAGGCGGCUUAUGUAACUCUCUAUCCUGGCAGGUUACACAGAGCAUUCCCGGUGACUACGUGCAGCUGGAGCAGAGUCUGUUCUUACCCAGUAUGAUACAAGCCAUUGCUCUAGGUCAACCUUUAAAGAGAUCUCCGGAGUACUUCAGCAUGGCAUGAGCAGUCUCUGACUUGUAAUUAACUCUACAGUUGGUGUGCGUUUUUAAAUAACCACUUUUUCCUUCUCUAGUAGCUUUCCUAGAGUGCUCACUGCAGUUAACAAAUGUAAUUUAACCUCACAACCUCCUGGGAGGUAUAAGCAUUACCCUGUUUUAAAGAUGAGGCCACAGGCAGAGAGGUGAAGAGACUUCCCCAAGGCCUCACCUAGCCUGUGACAGUUCUGGGAGCGGACCCCAGGGCUCCUCUCUCCUGAGGCCUGUGUCUUACCCAGGUGCCUUUUUGAGAACAGAGGUGACACCCAGAAGGUUUACAUAUGUUGACUGGGCCCAUUUUCAGACAAGCAACACAAAGACCUCAACAGUCAGCCAGCACAAAGAUGCCAAACAGCUACCACUGGAACAGAAUCAAACCAAUCAAGUGUCUUUUGGUGCUAGAAUGGGGACAGUAGCUCACGGAGAUGCAUGACUUCAUCAAUGCUGCCAGGCAAAGAGGACAGAAAGUUGCUCAGCUGGCAGACAAAGAGGAGGGAGGCGGAGGAGGGGGACAGAGUCCCUGGCACUUACAAGAACAUUUUUACAACUUAGGAGCCAAAAUGAAGUUCUCUUUCUCCUGGAAAUGUCAGCAAGGAGUAGGUGGAAGUGUUUCACAGAAUGAUACACAAACUCCCUUGCCUUGACAGGCUACAAGAAUCUCUGGUUUCCAAGUCAUACGCCAGAGGGAACAACAUUAUUUGAACAUUUGAACACAAUGCAGUGAGCCAGCAUGCAGCAAAGCAAUUGACUCUGGCAGCUUCUACGUGUCUUCAUACAAAGGUACCCUACCCACUGACAACAUGCAGCACCCAGGGCAGACUCUGUAUGCCGUUCACAGAAAAAGCCUCACAAGUAAGAACAAUCUGUUCUGCUCGCCCCAGACAUUUGACAUCGAGCCCUCUUUCUCAAUAGCUUAGUGUGCAGCCCACCCCUGAAAGUGAUUUCUAUCAGCAACUACAACUAAGGUCCCCCUACCUUUAAGUCACUGGAUGCAGAGUGCCUUUCUAAACUACAAGUUGAAUGUGUCAGGAAACCAUUAUGAUUUAAUAAUGCCCCAACAGUAUUAGAACAUGAUCCAGUCUUCUCUAUGUAGAUACUACCAAGCCACGUUAUAAGCUUCUUAACAAGCAAUGUUACCAUCCUGUCAAGAUGGUAACAUGAUUCAAAAAGUGGUUACAAAACAGGUUAGUUUCAUCUGCAUACACAAGGCCAAAUUGCAUUCUAGCCUGGUCAGGUCACGGUUGUGUUAGAACAGUCCUCUGACACAGCAGGUUUAAAACAAUGUAGGAAAGAUAACCUAAGCUAUAAUCGCACCCUUUAAAAAACAGAGGGCAGAAGUUCUGCCAUUUUUCUAACAGCAGAGAGUUUUGAUUCUACACCAUGUACUAGUCUCAUCAAAAUAAAUAAUUACAUUCUGCACUUGCAUGGUGUCUUUUAGCUGAAGAUCUAAAAGUACUUUAUCAAAUAUUAAGCGAGCGUCACACCAAGCCCGCACAGUACUAGACAACACCCAGUUUACAGAAGGAUAAACUGAGACACGGCAUCUUGCCUUUGGUCACACAAGUCAGUGGCAAAGCUCAGUACAGAACCCUGGAGUCCUGGCUCCCAGCCUCUGUUAUACCUCUUCAGGAAAUGUGUGUUGGUAACAGCUGACAAACACAAUGUAUAUGCAAAUAUAAAGCCAUUAUUGGGAGCAAAGCAUUCCAGAAGGAGCAUGUCUAGUGAUAUGACCAGAGGACUGGUACCAAACUACCUAAAUUCUACACCCUGCACUGCCAAUGACUUGCUACAUGACCUGAAGUAAAAUCAUGGGGUUUUGUUUGGUUUUGAGUAGCCUCAAUUUAGCCAUCUCUAAAGAUGGGCAUUACCCACUAGUUUGCAGGUGUGUAGUGAAGUUAAUGCUUUGUGCCUACACUAAUGUGUAGUGAGUGAGUGAGUGCAUUAAGUCAAUUAUAGUGAAAGUUAAAACUGUAGAAGCUGUGUGUAGUACAUACAAGGGUGGCAUACAUGCAUGGAAUGUAGUAUCAUCAGAGCUAGAGGGAAUUUGAUAAAUUUUUAAGGUUUAUCUGAUGGGGCGGGCCUGGCAUCUUUUAUACUUCUAAUUAAAAUCCGAAAUCCUCACUUCUCAUUGAGCAGGAGUUAAAUGUGGCCUACUAUAAAACAACGGAAGGGCUCCCCCUGCUGGGUCUGCAAUAGUGGUUACACCCUAUUCCAAGAGUUGACCUCAUCAAUGCUGCUGGUGCAGAAAACAAGGAAGUAAACUAGCUUUGGCUGCAUUUGAAACAAUGAGGAAAAUCCUUCCUUUGACAAAGGGAAGGAUGCCAGUGAAGGAGGGAGUGUCCUAAUGUUCUAAGCGCAAAGGAGGGCAGGAAACCUCUCUAGCAAUAGUUGAACUUGCCCUAUGUUUCUACUGCAGCGAGACGUGACUCGACUUUCUUCACCCAGAAGGCUAAUGUAUGUGACUGUUGGGCCCACUCCUGCGGCUGGGAGCUAGAUUCAGCGGUACCUGCCUACCUGAGGCAGUCUCUCUAGCAUACCACUAAAGCUUCAAUCAACAGAGGCAUCUGAGCCAUCAGCCAUUGAAAGAAGAGUGACGGUGGCAAGGUUUCAAAAAGCUAAAGUGAGAUGGGCAAAUAUGAUUAUCCUCAAUUUACAGAUGGGAAGACAGAGGUGGCAAAGGAAGUAACUUGCCCAGACGCAGCCAAGUCAGCGAAAGAGCUGGGAACAGCACUGUGGUCAAGAGCAUGACUGAAAGCAGGCCAGUGGCUAGGGGACAGAACUGAGUCAGGCCAGAGAGAGGCUCUGCCGGGAGCACAUAAUCUUUUGGAUCAGUUGGACACUUUUGAAUAAAGGAGGAAAUUUCUAACCUUCAAUCAAGUCCUUGACCAAAUAGGGUAAUAAGUAAAACAAUGCCUUUACAUCUGGCAAAAGUAGCCUCCGCCUGAGGGGCACAGUUUGGGUCAGGAAGACCCUAACACAGCACAUUUGUGGUUCAUGUUUUGCAGCUUGACACUGAGAGCAGCUACAUUUUGGAUAGUGCCAAAGCUAGGUAUAAUGCACAGCUUUCAUCAGGCUUACAGCCCUUCACAAUCACCAGUUAAGCCUCCUAGCACCCCUGUAUGUUGGGUAUUAUUCUUAUUUUAAAAUGGAUAAAAUGAGAUAUGGAUACAAUACCAUGGACAUGAAAUUCCACCUUUUUACGCUGCAAGACAACUUUUUUUUUUGCUGAGCAUUGUUAACCUUUGUGCCCAAUACAGGCCUAGAAUAGCAUACAUGGGGUCAAGCUUACAACAACCUUUGUCAGAAAACCAGUCUUCUGCCCUCUCUCCAAGCUCAUAUGACAAAUUUAAGUUGUUUUUUCCUCCCCCCACCUUCCUCUCAAUUAUAGCAUAAAUAUUCAAUGAAGAUUUAGGUCAACACAUUUUCCUGCAGCGCAGUCUCACGAAGCACAUUUUGUUUUUAUCACAUCAAAUUUCUUUUAUAAAAGCAUCUUACUUGCAUGUAUUGAAAUCCCAGAUUCUUGUUUACGUUGUUCAAAGACUUAGGCAGCCCAUUCUGAACUAAAUCCCUAAUUAAACAUGACCCAGCUUGUUUCUAAUUAACAUUUUCCAACGCUCCCUAGGAAUUUCCAGAUGUAUCCAGAGGGACAAUUCAAGUAUAUUUACAUAUAUCAGUGCCAACAUUCCCCCUUACUUCUCUCCAUAUUUCUACCUAAACCAGACAUUUCCAGCCAAGGGACAGUUCAACUUAGAGGCUGACCACUGACUAGAUGGCAGGACAUGAUACAUAGGGCUUAAAGGAGGAACAAGCCGUGGAUAGGAAAGAACAGUGACACUCCAUGUCUGCAUCCGAAGUGGAUAGUCACCCACGAAAGCUCAUGCUCCUAUACGUCUGUUAGUCUAUAAGGUGCCACAGGACUCUUUGCUGCUUUUACAUGUCUGCGAAGAUGCACCAGGAUGGAAACAAAAUAUUUCCACUCUCUUAUGUCCACAGCCCUAAGUGUAGCAUGUUUUUAUAAACUACCCAUGUUUACUAUUUCUACCUCACUAUCAACAGCAUGGGGAGAGCGCAGGGUUGGACGAUGUGGAACCUGGGACUUAGACUGAAGGUUGUACAAAUAAAACAAUCCAGUAAAGUCAAAUCUCCUCCCAGUUGGCAAGGGAAGGGGAUUUAAUACAGCUGGGCCAUAUCAGAAUCAAAUUACAUUUGGGAAAUUCCACUAGGAUAUUACCCAGUGUAGAAGGUAUUGUCAUCUCACAUUUACCCAACAAUUAAUGAAUGUGGUAACCAAGAGCAGAUUUUAAAGUUCAAAUAUCGCACGCACAGGGUUCUAUCAAACAGGACUGAACAAAUUAGAGAUUUUGCUAGGCUUGAGAUCGACCACAGUGACUUAAAUCUUUACUUGUGUCGCAGGAGCGCUAAACGGCUUGGGCUGGAGCUCCACUGUGCUGGGCGCUGCCUGUCCCAAGCAGCUUACAAUCUCAAGAGACCAAACAUAGAUGAAGACCUGGAGAAAGGAGCCGUCAAGGUGAAGGCAGGCCCCUGGGUCCUUCCUCUCCAAAGCAGUCGGUACUAGCUAGCGACAGCAGGCAAUUCCCAGCCCUCCUUCUGUCACAUCCCACCUCCAGACCAGAAGGGCUCAUCUGGAGAAGGGGAGGCCCUAAGCCUGCUUCUCCAUGGGGACCAGAAGUCACAAUUAGAAGGAACCUACAGGAGGAGUUAUAGGCUAUGUAGGUCUGCAGACCUCCUUCCCAAAUGCAGCAAAUACCAACUAUGGCACAGAAUAUAGAGGGUAAAAAUCAGGGCCUUCCAGUCCCCUUGUGCCCCUACAAGAGACCCAGAAGAACCCACUGGAAGCAUCCUUCCUCCUCCACAAGGAGAGUAAUUGCAGCCAGGACGAGCCUUCACAGUCUGAUGCUCACUCGACUGUGGCACCUGGGCUCUGCCGUCUCAUUGCUGUAGUAUCACCGCUGUUUUCAUCCUACCCCUUCCCCCACCGCUGUCCACCUCAACUCUCCCCUGUGCCUAGUGGGCUUCUCAACCUCCUUACCUCCCUCUUCAGACUCCUCUCAUUACCCACUACCCUUCUUACUUCAACCAACUCCUCCACUUCCCCAUCUCCAGCCCUCUGCGCUGACCCAAAGAAGCCUAAAAUCUAGACUUUACGUAACAGUAAUAAGAAAUGCCAAUAAGAGACAUGGGUGCUUGUUGCAGUUGGUUCCAUCACCCUGACCAUUGUGCUUGUAUGCCGUAGCCACUUCCCCUGCCUUCGCUGCUUCAGAUUGUGAGCUCUUGGGGAGGGACCAGUUCUCUGUAUGUAUUUAUACAGCCGCUAGCAUAAUGGGCUCUGUAGAGGUGUUCUUGGGCCUAAUUUUUAGGCCCAGCUUGAGCCCGAGAGGACUGAGUCAUUUUCAAACCCGACCCUUCCGCCCGAACCUGGAUUAUUGCCACCAUGAGGUUGGCACUACACAGGCCAUGCGUCCGUUUUUUAACCGGACAGUCCUGUUUUGGGUGGCUUGUCUCUGUCUGGUACGGAGCCAAAGCUGGAUGUGGUUUUGCACGAUAUUAACAGGGGGGCCAUUUUGAAGAGCACGUUGCUCCGUACCUGCGGGUGCAACGUCAUACACGCUAUGCGUGUGAGGUAACAUCGAGCGGAGACACCACUUUGAAGAACAUGUCACGCACUGCAUGCAUGCUGUGUGCGAGGUCACAACCCUGGGGGUGGGCACAUGCCAUUCCUGAAGUACUGGGACAUCCCGCAGCAGCCACCGUGGUUGGCAUGGCGGCAGGUUGGAUGCCCUGCUCCUGCCAUCCAACAGCCCUCUCUGUGCAGUGAAAGCCACUGCAACUCUCGGCACACUCACUCCGCAACAUGCACAGCAGUGGGGUGAUGGCGUUCGGCAGAGACAGGGCACACAACUGCUGCCACGCUUACCCCCUGGGCAAUAGGAGGAGAUCUGACCCAACCCAACAGAGAGGGUCCGGAGGUUUUCCCAUCUGACCCCGACCUGACACUUGUAGUCGGGUCCCAUCAGGUUCAGGUCAGGUUGCAGGACUGACGCUGACGGAAGGCCUCCAGGCACUGCCAUAAUACUAACGAUCUCAAAGUACUGCUGAACGUUUCAAGCAAAUUGAAUAAGACAUACUGAACAGCCAUCAUUUGUGUAUCAUUUUACAGAACACUGGGUUGCAAAUGUGACUUUUGCCCGCCCCGCCCCUGCUGAGAAGUCACAAUCCCUCAUGGCAAUGGUUGCUGUGUGCGGCCCAUUACAUGGGUCUCAAUUAUUUCCAUGUGGUCAUCAGGGUUGUUAGAUUUCAGAGUAGCAGCCGUGUUAGUCUGUAUACGCAAAAAGAACAGGAGUACUUGUGGCACCUUAGAGACUAACAAAUUUAUUAAAGCGUAAGCUUUCGUGGACUACAGCCCACUUCUUCG